GAGCGAAGCUUUUCAGUAGUUUACUACAGAAAAUGACUGAGCGGCGAACGGGUGAGUAACGCGUGAGCAACCUACCUUAGUUACUGGGAUAGCCCGAGGAAACUCGGAUUAAUACCGGAUAUUCUUAUUUAAUCACAUGAUUUUUUAAGGAAAGGUCAGCCGAACUAAGAUGGGCUCGCGUUCUAUCAGCUAGUUGGUAGGGUAAUGGCCUACCAAGGCUACGACGGAUAGCUGGUCUGAGAGGACGAUCAGCCACACUGGGACUGAGACACGGCCCAGACUCCUACGGGAGGCUGCAGCAGGGAAUAUUGCGCAAUGAGCGAAAGCUUGACGCAGCGACACCGCGUGUGGGAUGACGGAUCUAGGUUUGUAAACCACUUUCAGGAGGGAAGAAAAUGACGGUACCUCCACAAGAAGCCCCGGCCAACUACGUGCCAGCAGCCGCGGUAAUACGUAGGGGGCGAGCGUUGUCCGGAUUUAUUGGGCGUAAAGAGCUCGUAGGCGGUUCAACAAGUCGGUCGUGAAAGUUCAGGGCUCAACCCUGAAAUGUCGAUCGAUACUGUUGUGACUAGGAUACGGUAGAGGUGAGUGGAAUUCCGAGUGUAGCGGUGAAAUGCGUAGAUAUUCGGAGGAACACCAAUUGCGAAGGCAGCUCACUGGGCCGCUAUCG
rnacentral:rRNA from 1 species